GAAGACUGCCUAGUUACAGAGGUUAGAAUGGAGCACCCACUGGUCUUCCACUUAUCCCCAGAUGGUAAUCAGGUCCAUUCUCUUGCCUUGACUCCAAUUGCUGCUAUGCUUGCAGAUGUCAGUGGCUGUUGGUGCCAUGUCUUGUGAUGACUUUGGGAUGUCCACACUAGAUGUCCUCCUGAUAGGUGAAGUUGCAGACCAGGUUCCAUUACUGACUUUGACUGUGUGGCAGAAUCCUACCAGUAAGUGCUGAAGUUGAUCAUCUAGAUUUCCAGAUUCUUGGCUGUAUUGAUCCCUUUCAGUCUGAGCCUCUGCCAUUUCCGAAUGAGCUAGGUGCAAUUGCUUCUGAAGAUCUUCUAUCUAAGCCUUUACAAAUCAGCACAGCAUGGAGAAGGAGUCUGGCUCACACCUCAUCAACACAUAACUACAUUGCAAAUGCAGAAUUGUUAAUGUUGAUGUGAUAACUGGGAAAAAAUAAAAUGGUUUGGUUCUGAGAUCCUGGUAGAGUUCCAGAAUUGGCAGUUAGAUAAACUAAUGUAGUAGAAAUAUAAACAAAGCAUAUGUAAUAUGGAAAUGUUGAGUGACAAUGAACAUGGAACCCCCCAGAGAGCUGCUCAGAAAGUGACUUUCCAAAGACUUACAUGUUAUGAUUUACAAAACUCUCUUUUGGACACCACCAAGAUCUUGGAAUUUCUUUUUUACUUAUUUAAACAACUCUCCUGGGCACAGAUCAGAUGUAACAUUUUUCUUAUUUGUUUCUCAACUCUAAUGUAAUUUUAAUUACCAGGACAUAUCACAUAUUCUAUUUAGUUACAUAUCUGUACAGCAAGUUUAUUCAAUAUUGAUUUCAAAAUUCCUAUUGCUUAGAUCAC